rnacentral:rRNA from 1 species
UACGGAGGGUGCGAGCGUUGUCCGGAAUCACUGGGCGUAAAGGGCGCGUAGGCGGCUGGGGAAGUCGGCGGUGAAAGCCCGGAGCUCAACUCCGGGUCGGCCGUCGAGACUCCUCGGCUCGAGCUCACUAGAGGCAGAUGGAAUUCCGGGUGUAGCGGUGGAAUGCGUAGAGAUCCGGAAGAACACCGGUGGCGAAGGCGGUCUGCUGGGGUGGAGCUGACGCUGAGGCGCGACAGCGUGGGGAGCAAACAGG